GCUCUGCUAAGUGUCAGCCUUUUUUUCUCUUUUACUUGUAAAUAAUAAUAUCUUUCUCAUUGGCAAGUCUCCUCCAAACGGUUCUAAAAAAAAUCAUCACCUCCAUAAAGAAACACAUAGCUCUCCUUCGAUUCCUUCGUCUCUCAAGUCACAAACUUUUUUUUUCUUUUAAGAAAAAAGCUUGUGUGUGAGCUAAAACAACAAGAGGAGCAAGCAUAAAAAUCACAGCCAAAACAACAAAGUUCAGCCAUUUUUGGCUUUCAGUUGGAUCGUUUGUGAAAUUGGGGAGGUGGGUUUGGUUUGAAAUCUGGGUUGGAGGUGGCUACAGGGGUUGGAUGUUGAAAUUUUAGUUGAAGGAGUUGAAGUGGCUGUUCAAUUUCCUUUUAUGGAUAGGCUCUGCUGUUUUAGUGGUUCCUACUCUAAGCUUGUAGGAGGGCGUUCCUCAUCUAGCUCUGGCAAAGGGAAAAGCCAUGAAGGGUUAAUCAAGUUUGGUUUCAGCCUAGUAAAAGGGAAAGCUAAUCAUCCCAUGGAGGAUUACCAUGUUGCUAAAUUUAUGCAGAGUGAGGGACAUGAAUUAGGACUAUUUGCUAUCUAUGAUGGCCAUUUGGGAGAUACUGUUCCUUCCUACCUACAGAAACAUUUGUUUUCCAAUAUCCUAAAGGAGGAAGAAUUUUGGGUUGACCCCAACAGAUCUAUCUCAAAAGCCUAUGAGAAGACAGACCAGGCAAUUCUCUCUCACAGUUCUGACUUGGGGCGGGGUGGGUCCACAGCCGUAACUGCAAUUUUGAUAAAUGGCCAAAAAUUAUGGGUAGCCAAUGUUGGAGAUUCACGAGCAGUUCUCUCAAAAGGGGGCCAGGCAAUACAGAUGUCUAUAGACCAUGAGCCCAACACCGAGCGAGGCAGCAUCGAGAACAAAGGCGGUUUUGUCUCAAACAUGCCAGUCCACUGGGGCACUUCAGAAAAAUACGAGGAGUUCACAAUCUGAUCCGUGUUGUCCAAAAUCAUAAAGGUAUUACACUAUUUUUUGUCAACAAGUAUCUGAUAGUACUGCAUCUGCUGCCCUUUGAAAGACCCACAUCUGAUGACCUUGAAUUGUGGGUUUUGCUCUAUAGUGUAACCAGGUUGAUUGGGAGAGAGGGACUUCAUUUUUUGGGGGUAUCAUGAACCUGUUGGAUGAGAUAACACAAACAGAGUGGAUAUCCUUCUUUGCUAUAAGAAGAGAAAAACAAGAAAAAUUUCCUGCAUCCAUUCAGAAGGUGAUAACUCUAUUGUCAUCAUAUGGAAUAGUUGUAGGCUUGUGGGAGUUCUCCAGUGUCUUGGGUUUGUGAUAUACAUAGUACUUAGUAUGCCCCGACUAAGGUAUUCCCAAACUGACUCUUAGAAAACGAUCUCCUAGUGAAAAUGGAUGCCCUCUGCUUUGGUGUUCCUUUGAGUUGGUAACUUGGUAUCAUACCUCAGCAUGUGGCUUAUACCUCUUGAUGACUGUGAUGCUGUUUUGUUCUUCUCCAGAGUUGUUGAUACUAGGUAAAUAUCAGAUGACACCAAAAGUUUGGGUGGUGGUCAAGAUUCAGGGCUUUCUUUCAGAAAUAGGGACUUCUAAUUCUCUAUAAGGAAGUGGGGGAUGUCCCUAGAGUCAAUGGGCAGCUGGCAGUUUCUCGUGCUUUUGGAGACAAGAGCCUCAAAUCACAUUUGCGAUCUGACCCAGACAUACAAGAGACUCUUGUAGAUGCCAAUACCGAACUUUUAAUCCUUGCCAGCGAUGG